GAUGAACGCUAGCUACAGGCUUAACACAUGCAAGUCGAGGGGAAACGAUAGAGAAAGCUUGCUUUUUCUAGGCGUCGACCGGCGCACGGGUGAGUAACGCGUAUCCAACCUGCCCAUCACUUGGGGAUAACCUUGCGAAAGUAAGACUAAUACCCAAUGAUAUCUCUAGAAGACAUCUGAAAGAGAUUAAAGAUUUAUCGGUGAUGGAUGGGGAUGCGUCUGAUUAGCUUGUUGGCGGGGUAACGGCCUACCAAGGCGACGAUCAGUAGGGGUUCUGAGAGGAAGGCCCCCCACAUUGGAACUGAGACACGGUCCAAACUCCUACGGGAGGCAGCAGUGAGGAAUAUUGGUCAAUGGACGAGAGUCUGAACCAGCCAAGUAGCGUGAAGGAUGAAGGUCUUACGGAUUGUAAACUUCUUUUAUAAGGGAAUAAACCCUCCCACGUGUGGGAGCUUGUAUGUACCUUAUGAAUAAGCAUCGGCUAACUCCGUG
rnacentral:rRNA from 1 species